ACCAUUUGACUUAGAUAUAAAGUAUUACUGACAGGAAUUUUUCAAUUUACUUGAAAUGUCUUAUACUUGAUUCUCAAAAACGUACUAAUGCACUUUUAAAUGCGAAACCAAUUCAGCGUACAAAACCAACUAUUAGAUUAAGGAAGCACUAAAAUUGAGAAUGGUGAACUAGAAAAAGCUUUGUGAUAUAUAAAAAAUCUAAAAAGUUUCAAGAAUAAAGUACCAAGGGCAGUGCAGCUAUCAUUAAAGCGAAUGGAACAAGUUAAAAAACAAGUUUCUAUUACUACCAACGAGAUGUCAAAUGUCUCUUAAGCUUAUAAUUAAAACAAGAAUACCUAAUUUCGUUUGCCAUUUUACAAAUAGCGUCUUUGGUUUUUGACUCGCUUACCCAUAGCUUAAAAUAAGCUCAGCAGGAAACGAAUUUCUAUAGGUAUAGGAACUAGCAUUGUAUGAAU